CUUUAAUCACAAACAGGAGGCUGCUGUUGGCUCUGGCAUACAAUUAACAGAGCAGGUGUAAACACAAUGUGCAAUAUGGGAAGUAAAUAAAAGAAAAUUCAUGGUGUUUCUUUUUUGUUAAUGGGAGUGUAUAACUAGGGCUUCAUAAACAAAAUUAUAUAACUCCUAAAUGGCAAAGAAUUGAGCAGUGAGUCCAAGUGGGGCAUGAUAUAUA